UACGGGGGGGGCAAGCGUUAUUCGGAAUUACUGGGCGUAAAGGGCGCGUAGGCGGGUGGAUAAGUCUCUCGUGAAAGCCCACGGCUCAACCGUGGAAUUUCGGGAGAUACUGUCUGUCUUGAGUUCGGGAGAGGAGGGUGGAAUUCCCAGUGUAGCGGUGAAAUGCGUAGAGAUUGGGAGGAACACCGGUGGCGAAGGCGGCUCUCUGGACCGGUACUGACGCUGAGGCGCGAAAGCUAGGGGAGCAAACGGG
rnacentral:rRNA from 1 species